rnacentral:rRNA from 1 species
CNCCAGUGGCGAAAGCGGCUCUCUGGUCUGUCACUGACGCUGAGGCUCGAAAGCGUGGGUAGCGAACAGGAUUAGAUACCCUGGUAGUNCACGCCGUAAACGAUGAGUGCUAGGUGUUAGGCCCUUUCCGGGGCUUAGUGCCGGAGCUAACGCAAUAAGCACUCCGCCUGGGGAGUACGACCGCAAGGUUGAAACUCAAAGGAAUUGACGGGGGCCCGCACAAGCGGUGGAGCAUGUGGUUUAAUUNGAAGCAACGCGAAGAACCUUACCAGGUCUUGACAUCCCGAUGCCAUUCUUAGAGAUAGGAAGUUACUUCGGUACAUCGGAGACAGGUGGUGCAUGGUUGUCGUCAGCUCGUGUCGUGAGAUGUUGGGUUAAGUCCCGCAACGAGCGCAACCCUUAUUGUUAGUUGCCAUCAUUAAGUUGGGCACUCUAGCGAGACUGCCGGUAAUAAACCGGAGGAAGGUGGGGAUGACGUCAAAUCAUCAUGCCCCUUAUGACCUGGGCUACACACGUGCUACAAUGGUCGGUACAACGAGUUGCGAGCCGGUGACGGCAAGCUAAUCUCUGAAAGCCGAUCUCGGUUCGGAUUGGAGGCUGCAACUCGCCUCCAUGAAGUCGGAAUCGCUAGUAAUCGCGGAUCAGCACGCCGCGGUGAAUACGUUCCCGGGCCUUGUACACACCGCCCGUCACACCACGAGAGUUUGUAACACCCGAAGUCG